UACGUAGGGUGCGAGCGUUAAUCGGAAUUACUGGGCGUAAAGCGCGCGCAGGCGGUUUGUUAAGUCUGAUGUGAAAGCCCCGGGCUCAACCUGGGAAUGGCAUUGGAAACUGGCGAGCUUGAGUACGGCAGAGGGGGGUGGAAUUCCGCGUGUAGCGGUGAAAUGCGUAGAGAUGCGGAGGAACACCGGUGGCGAAGGCAGCCCCCUGGGCCAAUACUGACGCUCAGGCGCGAAAGCGUGGGGAGCAAACAGG
rnacentral:rRNA from 1 species